UAUGACAAUACAGUUUGUAUACGGCGAUGAUGAAAUUAUAGAACGCUUUAACACUAUUAUGUUAAAAGCUUGAAAUUUCAUCAAAAGAUUUCAAAUUCAAAUGAGAAGAUUUAUACAAUGAAGGAAAACUGCCCUAUUAUGUAGCGAAUCCAAUAGAGAAGGCAGAAAUAAACUUGCAUAUAAUGACUUCCAUUGGAUGCAUGCCAAUCUAGAACACCUGUUUGGCAAAACAUUUGUAAUGGUAGUAUUCAUUUCACAGUGAUCCACAAGCAAAGAUCAACAAGCAAGGCACAAAUGAGUCAUAUGCACAUCAAAAUAGCACGCAUUGCAACACAUCCUUCCACUUCAUUUUCUCCUUUUGAGUACAGACUUCUAUUAAUCAUACCCGUCUACCCUACAGGACCAUCUUUGCUUUCUAAAUGAUUUAAACACCUUACGAGAUUUUGGACAGAAGACUUCUAUUGAAGUUAAGAGAUGUCGAAAAGUUUGGUUCCGACAGUUGUAUGAACCUGUUACAACAUAAAUAACCUGAUGACGUGUAAAAUGUCAGCAUUUUCAUGGACCAUUUGCACCUUAUAUGCAAUCGAGGAAAAAGGGGGGCAAAGAAGGGCUUGGUCGCAAAGUUUUGUUGAUCCUGCAUCUAAGAGUAAGAUCUUAACUAGGACACACUGGAUGAAGUGCUCUUCACUGUUUGAUUUGUAUCUAAUGGUGCUUGUGCUGUGCCUUCCCUGCAGAUUUCCUUCAUGUUACAAGAAAAUUUGAUUGUUAAUCCCAACAAGCUCGGUGGAUUCAUUAAAACAGGAUACUGUAAUUUACCUUUGAAGAUGUGUAGAGAUUGAAGGGUUCAUAAUGAACCUGAAUAAGUGGCUCAAAACCAUAAGAGAUUUCUGCAGAGGCAAUGUUUGUUGCUGAAGUCAGAAAAUUUGGCCGAUUUGACACAGUGCACCUAUUGGGAAGACUAAGAGCUGUUUGCGCUGAGUUUUCAUCAUUCUCAGAAAAUAUACCUGUUGCUGCAUUCGUAUUUAGCAGUCCAUUUACUUCAUCAAAGUUCAAUCCUGUCAUGGGCAGUUGCAUAGGCUGUCGAACUCCUGGUAAGCACAUGGGAUGCAAACUCAAUCCAUUUCUCAUUGUUAACAUCUGUACUUGAAGCUGAAGCUGCUUCAAGUAUUCAAUCGCCUCAUCCAGCAUUGAAGCUUUAUCGGUCUUAUUAGAAUUUGGAAUAAGAUUUUGCAACGCCUUCAUUUUCUCAUUAAUCCUGCUCCUUCUCCUCUUUUCAGAUAAGUUAUGAACCUCUGCAGCUCUGCUCCUCUUCGAGGAGCUUCUAGGCUGCACUGUUUCCGAUGGCACCUCUGAAACAUCUGCGCCCUUCUAAAAGGAGAAAAAUAAGAAGAAACGAGCAUGACCGAAAUUUCAAACUAUUAGUAUGCGCACCAUAAUUGAUAAGCAUCACUUCUAAUUGCAAUUACCUCGCUAUUGCAGCUUACGUCACCUAUAUCAUUCUCCACAGAGACUCCCCUCCUCUUUGAAAUGACCGAAGAGACAGCAUUUUCCGCACUCUCUUUGACGAAAUAAUCGCCAGGAUCAGAGAAAUUGACACCAUCGACUCGGCAAUCUUGGGAGCGGCCGAACAACAAUACAGCCGGGGGUGAAGUCUCCACAGCCGCCGGCGGCGGCAGCGGGUGAGGAGGAGGAGAAGAAGAAAGAGCAAGAUGCAUGAAUUUAGAAGAAGAAGAAGAGGAAGAAUUGUGAAGGAGGUGGUGAAUGAAGGAGGAAAUUUCUUCAGGCUCCGGAGCCGGAGAAGGAUCAGUUCCGCACAGAUCGGCCAUGGAGAAUAAAUCUGAGCAAGUAAACAGAUACAGCGAAAGCAACGGUAGAUUAUUGUUUGCGUGUGGUUUCUGUGCAAAACCGUCACUGCUCGUACGGGUUCUCUUUUUCUGUGCUUCUUGGCUUUAGGUCUCUUGGGGAAAGGGUUUAUUGGCUAAUGAAGCUUUUCUUUUUUCUACAAGCGGAAUGCCUGUAAUCAAAUUUGAUUAAUCUCCCGCCUUAAUUAAAAGUUUUUCUUCAUUUUGCUUUUACUUUAGACUCCCUAUAGUUUUCAUAAAUGUCUUCAGAAGCCCCGUUUAUUUAUCUUAUUCUCUAUUUCUGCCGCCUUCUCCGCCCACUUAUUCUUUAGCGAUGACUUUAUAUAAUUUAUUUAUUAAUUUUAACAAAAACUUUUUAUUUUUGAGUAUUUUUGGCAUUUGAUUUGACUAAACUUUAUUAUUAGAAUUAGUUCCAAUAGCAUAUAGUCGAUUUGGAACAGAUUUAAA
rnacentral:misc_RNA from 1 species